rnacentral:rRNA from 1 species
GACGAACGCUGGCGGCGUGCUUAACACAUGCAAGUCGAACGGAAAGGCCCUGCUUUUGUGGGGUUCCCGAGUGGCGAACGGGUGAGUAACACGUGAGUAACCUGCCCUUGACUUUGGGAUAACUUCAGGAAACUGGGGCUACUACCGGAUAGGAGCUCCUGCUGCAUGGUGGGCGUUGGAAAGUUUCGGCGGUUGGGGUUGGACUCGCGGCUUAUCAGCUUGCUGGUGGGGUAGUGGCAUACCAAGGCUUUGACGGAUAGCCGGCCUGGGAGGGUGACCGGGCACAUUGGGACUAAGAUACGGACCAGACUCCUAUGGUAGACAGCAGUGGGGAAUAUUACACAGUGAGCGGGAGCCUGAUGCAGCAGCGCCGCGGGCGGGAUGACGGCCUUCGGGUUGUAAACCGCUUUCGCCUGUGACGAAGCGGGAGUGACGGUAAUGAGUAAAGAAGCACCGGCUAACUACGUG